CACUGUGACUAUGCUAUGGACUACUGGGGCCAAGGCACCAUGGUGACCGUCUCCUCAGAAACCCAGUCACCUCCGUUACUCUUCCCCCUCGUAUCCUGUGACUCCUCUCUGCCGGACGAGACGCAGGUGACCCUGGGCUGCCUGGCCCGCGACUUCCUGCCCCCGCCCCUCACCUUCUCCUGGAACUUCAAGAACAACACCGACAUCAAGAGCGCCUACACCUUCCCUGAGGUCAUGCGGGAUGGCCGGUACCUGUCCACCUCCCGCGUGCAACUGCCAUCCGUGGACGUCCUCCAGUCUACCGACGACUUCCUGAUAUGCAAUGCCAACAACAAGGCUGGCAACCGGCAUGUGAACGUGCCCAUACCAGGCAUUGUAGAGCUGCCCCCCAACAUGAGUGUCUUCAUCCCACCCCGUGACUCCUUCUCCGGCAACAGCCCCCGCAAAUCCCAGAUCAUCUGCCAGGCGUCGGGCUUCAGCCCCAAAAACAUUGCCAUGUCCUGGCUGAAGGACGGCGAACCAGUGCCACCCCAAUCCGUCUCAACCAGCGACGUGGAGGCUGAGCCGCGGGGCUCAGGGCCCGCCACUUUCAGGGUCAUCAGCUGGCUGACCGUCACCGAGUCUGACUGGCUCAGCCAGAGGGUGUUCACCUGCCAGGCGGUGCACAAGGGCCUGACCUACCAGAAGAACGCAUCGUCCUUGUGCAGCAACCCUGGCCCGUCCAACGGCAUCCAGGUCUUCGCCCUGCCUCCCACCUUCGUCAGCAUCUUCCUCAACCGUUCGGCCCAGCUGACCUGCCUGGUCACGGGCCUGAUCACCUACGAAGGCCUGGAGAUCCAGUGGUCUGGCGAGAAGAAAGGCCAACUGGACACGCAGCAAAGCGUCUCUGAGAGCCACCCCAACAACACCUUUAGUGCCACGGGCCAGGCCAGCGUGUGCCAGGAGGACUGGGAGUCGGGCGAGAAGUUCACAUGCACCGUGUCGCACCCAGACCUGCCCUCGAAGCUGAAGCAGACCAUCUCCCGACCCCAGAAUGUCUUCAUGAACCGGCCCUCCGUGUAUGUGCUGCCGCCCGCCCAGGAGGAGAUCAAGCUGCGGGAGUCGGUGUCGGUCACCUGCCUGGUGAAGAACUUCGCGCCCCCUGACGUCUUCGUGCAGUGGCAGCAUCAGGGACAGCCGAUGUCCCCUGAGGACUACGUGACCAGCACCCCCGCGCCCGAGCCCCAGAACCCAGACCUCUACUUCGUCCACAGCGUCCUGACCGUGAGCGAGAAGGACUGGAGCAGUGGGGAUUCCUACUCCUGCGUGGUGGCCCACGAGGCCCUGCCCCUCUCGGUGACCGAGAAGACCGUGGACAAGGCCACCGGUAAACCCACCCUGUACAAUGUGUCCCUGGUCCUGUCCGACACCGCCAGCACCUGCUACUGACCCCGGGCAGCCCAUGUGUGCGUGCGUGCGUGCGUGCCCUCUGAGCUCAGCAGCAGAGGUUGCAGUUCAUGGAGUUAGAAAUAAAGGAUCCAUUGAAAAGAC